GGGCGCGUCGCUGCAGCCGCGGGCUCCGGGCGGGCUGAAGGGAGCGGCGUGCUGGCGGUGCCUCGUGCUGCCCCGGGGUCCUCCCGCAGGCGUUUCCGUGCCGGGGAGGUCGCCCGCCUCGCUUCCAUUCUUUCGGCGUCUGCGAGGGGCGUCCCAAAGUCCACGUGACGCUCCUCUUAUGUUUUGGCAGCUGGCGCCGGGACCGAACCGGGCUUGGCGUCGCGUGCCGCGCACUCGCAGGAGCUGCGGUGGUUCUUUCUCGCACUCGCGGUGGUCAGCGCCCGGGGGACCAAGAGGGCCGCGGAGGGACCGGACGCGGCCCCCGGCCCCGGUUCCCUCGGCGUCGUCGUGGUGCCGGUUCCCCCUCCCCCGGCGCCGUUCCCGCACCACCCCCUCUGCGCCGUCCCCCGACGUGGACGGGCUCGCUCCCGCGACGGUGCCGGUGUUUACUCCCGCAGGCAUUGACAGAGUUUUGUAAAGGCGGGAGGGCCGUGCGGUGACAGAGACCCUGACACAGAUGUCGACAGGCGUCGUAAUUACUGGGUGGUGCCCGUGGUGUCGGCGUCAGUUCACACCGGGCGGGCCCGGCAGAGGAGGCUGAGACAGAUAACUUCUCCGUGUUGGAGAGAAGCAGCCGCUCCGCAGACGGCGAGGCCACAGCCCCUCAGCUCGCAGUCUCAGCCUCAGGCGUGACUCGGAGUUGUCCAGGUUCCAAGACAGCAUGCCUGCGUGGACCGUGUGGCCCGGCAGCACCUCCACCGAACACAGCGGUAUCUCUGCAGCAGGACGUGGGUGCAACGAAAAACGCCACGCACGAAUAGCCGCAUGUCAGCUCAGAUCAGGUUCUGCGGCCAGAUGAUUGAGCAGGAAGGGACUGUGGCCACCAGACCGGUCCAACUUCAAGGACAGUUGAGAAUGAUGACUUGGAUCGCGUUUGAGGUAGCAAGUAUCACAGCCCACUCCCAAAGCACCACAGGAGCAGGGCACAGGCUCAGAUAAGCCAUUUGAAGUAAAAUGUCAGAGAAACAAGGAGUAGUGAGCUCCACCUUUCGCUUGUCAGGCCUCACGAGCUGCCAUGUAAGGCAGCAGUUCUGCCGCUCAGGGAGCUGCCUCCCUUGGGCCUGAGGUCAGGGUCUGAGCUCUGACAUUCAGACUGUGUGGUGCUGGGGCAACCUCUCAGGCUCUGCACCUGAGCCACGGGGACUUGGCGUCAGACUGCCCUUCCUUGGAACUAAGAACUCAGCACUAGAUUUGAUCUUUGGUUAAUUUUUAUAUAUAUUCAUAUCACAUAUGUUGAAAUUGAGCAAUAAUUCUGCGCAAUCCUGCUCCAGCUGCCAGUUUUUCAGGAUUCCCCACCUGAGAGGAGAGAAAGAUUCUCUCCACCCACCCAGUCACUGGAGCCAGGAGCCUGUGAUCCUUCCUAGACCCCGCUUCCUUUCUCCUAAAUUUGGCUCCAGAAACAAUUCUUGAGCACUUACCAUUUGCAAUGCAUUGUAUUUGACCAUGUGGAGGUACAGGGAACAAGAAACAGCUCCCACUCUGAAAAAGGCUACAACUCCUCACAAGACAUGAUCACCCUCCCCUGCUCCUGUUGCCAGUGCCUCCCUCUUGUGCCCUACUUCAGCCUGCAGCCAGACCUCAGGGGCAUUGGGGCCUCCCUGGCUCCUGCACUUCUGAUCCUGGCUCUGGGGUGAACUUCCUAAAAUGCCAGUCUAUUCAUGUUGUUUUACCAGCUGAUUCAGAGUGAAUCACAGUACCUCCCCCAUCUGCCCUUGCAUCCCUCUUAGUUGCAUCUUCCACAUGGUCGCGGCAUCUCCCAGAGUAUGGUACAAACCAUGCUGAGAUGUUUACAAUGCACUGUGAUGCUGUCCUCUCACUCUCUCUGGUCAUUGCCUACAGUCUAGAGGACUUUGCUCAGGGGCCCCUUCCUCACUGCAGGCUCCCCAGAUCUCCACCCGGGUAGGUUCACAUUCUCUCCCCUGUGCCCUGUGUGUUCUACACACUUUCAUCUCCUCGCUGCACUUGUUUAUAGUUCUGUGUCUCCCUGAAAUAAACUCCUAAGAAAUAA